CCUACGGGAGGCUGCAGUGGGGAAUAUUGCACAAUGGGGGAAACACUGAUGCAGCGACGCCGCGUGAGUGAAGAAGUAAUUCGUUAUGUAAAGCUCUAUUAGCAGGGUAGAAAAUGACGGUACCUGAGUAAGAAGCCCCGGCUAACUACGUGCCAGCACCCGUGGUAAUACGUAGGGGGCAGGCGUUAUCCGGAUUUACUGGGUGUAAAGGGCGCGUAGACGGCAGUGCAAGUCUGGAGUGAAAGGCGGGGGCUCAACCCCCGGACUGCCGUUGAAACUGUACGGCUGGAGUGCAGGAGAGGUAAGUGGAAGUCGUAGGGUAGCGGUGAAAUGCGUAGAUAUUAGGAGGAACACCAGUGGCGAAGGCGGCUUACUGGACUGUAACUGACGUUGAGGCUCGAAAGCGUGGGGAGCGAACAGGAUUAGAUACCCGUGUAGUC
rnacentral:rRNA from 1 species